UACGAAGGGGGCUAGCGUUGUUCGGAUUUACUGGGCGUAAAGCGCACGUAGGCGGAUCGUUAAGUCGGGGGUGAAAUCCUGGAGCUCAACUCCAGAACUGCCUUCGAUACUGGCGAUCUAGAGUCCGGAAGAGGUGAGUGGAACUCCUAGUGUAGAGGUGGAAUUCGUAGAUAUUCGCAAGAACACCAGUGGCGAAGGCGGCUCACUGGCCCAUUACUGACGCUGAGGCACGAAAGCGUGGGGAGCAAACAGG
rnacentral:rRNA from 1 species